rnacentral:tRNA from 1 species
AGGGGUGUAGCCAAGCGGUAAGGCAACGGACUUUGACUCCGUCAUUCGUAGGUUCAAUUCCUGCCACCCCUGCCA